UACGUAGGGCGCAAGCGUUGUCCGGAAUUAUUGGGCGUAAAGAGCUCGUAGGCGGUUUGUCGCGUCUGCUGUGAAAACUCGAGGCUCAACCUCGGGCUUGCAGUGGGUACGGGCAGACUAGAGUGCGGUAGGGGUGACUGGAAUUCCUGGUGUAGCGGUGGAAUGCGCAGAUAUCAGGAAGAACACCCGUGGCGAAGGCGGCUCUCUGGGACGGUACUGACGCUGAGACGCGAAAGCGUGGGGAGCGAACAGG
rnacentral:rRNA from 1 species